UGUCAGCGUGUCAACCGUGCUGCCAUACUUGGUGUCCGGACUCCUGGUGUGCUUCGUAGAUUUCGCGACAGUGGCCGGCUUCCUCUUUCCCCUUUAAUGCAGCGGUCCUCCAGACUGGCCCCGACAAACAAAGACGAGUGAGCUCUCUAUCGGAUGCUAAAGGAUCUCCUCAACCGCGCUUUCCACUUCUGGCUGAAACAACAGCACCACUGUGAUGAUCCUGAAUCGAUCUGUCAUUUUGACACAGAUGAUCACAGAGGCUGGGACUCAUCAGUGCUUCCCGCGUUCAAUGAUAUGCAGCAGUUUUGUUCACACCCAGAGCAAGAGUGUUCAAGAUGCUCAAGGACUUGAGAGCAGCCUUCGCAGAAAGGUUCUGCUUCGACAGUCCAGUGGAUGAAGAGGAGUUGAUGGAACGUGAGAAAAAGGCUUUGACUUACGCUGGGCUGAAUUUAAUAUCCUGCAGAGCUUACAGAAGCCAAUGGAUUCUCCCUAGUGUGAACGCAUGUGUUGAUUUGUACGUGCCCUUGUUCAAAAUGAAUGCCAAGAUUCCUGAAGAAAAACAAAAUGAUUUUGUUGACGCCUUCAAAUCCACGAUUUACGAGGUAUCGGGCACAACAGCUGGACGCGUUGCGUUCAAUUAUGACAUCAUUGUCACACACUCUCAGAAAACAUUCCCCAUUAGCUUGCUGUUUAUGCAGAAAUCCAUAACACGAGGAAACAAGAGGAACCUUUGAAACAGUGAAAGACACGCUCGUGGAAUGUGUGCAUGUUGUAGUGGGACUCCCAGACAAAAAGCAACCGUACUGUACGCAUACACCAGUCAGAUCCCCGCUGAGUGUAAGGGAAAUGAGAAGUCCAACAAAGUAUUCUCCAGCUCCAAAUAUUUCAAACCCUCACGCUGUUGUUCUUCAGUGAUGAGAAAAUCUAACGUAACCAGCGCCUGUAGGCGUUUUUAGUUAUUUAAUAGUUUUCAAGCAAGGUUCAAAUACACUUAAUUAAUGUAGGCCUUGGCAAUAGAUAAAGGUAGCUGUCCUUGUGGAUUGGUUCAAAUUAUUAUCACCCGCUUACUGUGCCGAAAUUCGAAAAGAAGCCGCCACCUAUAUCCAAUUUUUUUUCUCCAGGAUAACAUUCUCAUUCCCACUAAUUAAGUGGGUAAAAAGCGCGUAGUGCCCCAUAAUCAUCCUGCAUUCUUCGUAUUGUUGCCGAAAGUCAAACACCACCAGAAAGCUCUGUCUGUUUGCACUGUUGACGCAAACACUGCAAACCUUUGUCCGGCCAAACCUAGAAUAUGCUAGCGCGAUUUUCGACCCUCACCACAUUAACCUCACUUACGCCCUCGAAUCUGUCCAGAACCGUGCGGCACGGUUUAUACUAUCUAACUAUUCAUACACAUCAAGCAUCUCGGUACUGAAAGCAGAGAUUAACUUAUCCGAUCUGGCUAAGCGCCGCAAAAUCGCACGCCAUAACCUUUAUAAUAAAUUCUUCCAUUCUUUGCCCUUAGAUAACCCAUACAUCAGAAGAGCCCACCGCAUUUCCCGCAUCAGUCACUGUAACGCAGUAUAUUUACCACAAGCCCAUACUGUGACCUUUCAGCAAUCGUUUUUCCUGCGCACAGCCCAAGACUGGAAUGACCUGCCCACCGAAGUCGCCACCAUCAUCGACACCCAAGCAUUUAAACGGCUCAUCGAAACUAUCCUAUCAUAACUGCCAUUAUAUUGUUAGCCUUUGUAAUACCCACUCCCUCAUGUAAUAUCCCAACCGGGACCUUUGAGGUAAUAAAAUGAAUGAGUGAAUGAAUGACGCUUCGAACAGGCCCCUGGAGUUGUGUGUGCUAGAAAAAUUGCUACUCUGUAUGUCUUGUCAAGGCUAGCGACGAGCACCUGCGAAAUUUA
rnacentral:misc_RNA from 1 species